GCCGUUACUGCGCUACCCUCUAAGACCUACUAACAUAGUCAACUUGUUGUUGCGAGAUGGGUGGGACCAGAGCUAGAGAGGCGCUGGAGAGACUUCAGGCUGUUGUUGUGCAGACUUUCUUGAGCGUCUCUAGCGCACUGUAUGCGGACAAUUGUAAGAGGAUUUACGAGUGGAUAUUCAGCUGAGACGCAGUUUGGAACAGGCUGACAAGUUUGUAGACUGUGUAAUAGGCUGACUAGUUUGUAGAAUGUGUAAUAGGCUGACUAGUUUGUAGACUGUGUAAUAGGCUGACUAGUUUGUAGAAUGUGUAAUUUCCUGUUAGUCGUGUGAUUUUUAUUAUUUAUUUCCUUGACUUUUUCUUGUUUGUUUUCAACCUGUCGCGUAUUUUUAUGUAUUUAUGACGUGUGAUUAUUUGCAUUUAUUUUCUACACAUUUUGGGGUUUGAGUUGUUUUCUUUAAAGUGUAAAUGUCUCUGUCUGUGACCAAACUAACUACGUAUUUAUAUGUUGGUGUGAGAUUUUGUAAAAUCUCCCAACCUCUGAUACCGUGUCGGACGAAUAAACCGACCUUAUCAACAAACUCUCACUGCAGAAUUAGACGUAUAUCCACGUUUCUCCCUGCUACUUUGGGGAGGGAAAAAAACCUGGAUUCCAAAAUUGUUCCCUUGUGUAAAGACGCUCCUUUACAUCCGAGCAGCAGCAAGGGUCCCAAGACCCCUACAGCAGCCUCCAGACCCUCCGUGGGCACCCGGGUCCAGAGGGAGAGAAAGAAGGCGACCCGCUCCAAGACACCGGAAGGAGCGCCAGUCCUGCAGCUUCUGCAAACACAACGGGCAAAACUCAACGUUUCUCCCUGCUACUUCGGGGAGGAAAAAACGGAAGUGUUGUCUUGUUUUGAGACUUGUUUUCCUGACUUUAAAACGACAUGCUCUAAUCUAACUGUACAUCUGCAGGUCUACAGGCCUAAAAUAACCAUUAUAAGAACAUUGCUAUUGACAUCAAGACAACUUCUGUUUUAUGACGUGGUGUGCAGAGCUACUUUUGUGUCAUUGUAAUUUGCCGUGCUAGCUACUAUUUUAGUGUUAUACUUGUUUUUUAAAGAUCUAGAGGUGUGGCUUUUUGUUUGUUUUUG
rnacentral:lncRNA from 1 species